GUCGACAACCACAUUCUUGGCAUAUUUCACAUUCAGGAUCUUCUGGUGGAAUCUCUGGUAUUCCAAAAAUUUUCUCAUGGGCUUCAUGACCUCUGUGACGGAUUGAAUCAUUGGCUGGACACAAAAAUAAGAGAGUCAACUUACCAUAAAGCUCAAUAAUCCCAUAAGUCGUGUUGACUUCAUUUUUUGAUAUACAUUUAUAAACGCCUAAAUCAUUUGGUUCAACGUGUGAUAUGUUCAACAAAAGGUCCAAUAAUGGAUGGCUGUCGGAAAAGCAUCAACAAGGCACUCUAGUACAACAAACGAACCAUUUUCUGCAGCAAUAGCAUCUUUUGGUACUGUAAUUAAUGGCUGAUCUGUUGAUGAAAAUGUUAACAUGUUAAUGUGGUUAACCUUUGAAUUUUGGACAAAUAUGAGUAGACAAGGAUCCACAUGAAUGAUACUCAUGAUACUUACAUGCAACUGUUAUAUCGUAUUGUUUGAAUACUUGCGGAGGAAUGCCGUUAUUAGCAUAACAAACAUAUGUUCCUGAAUGUUCCCGUCUUACUCUGGUUAAAUUCAGUCUACCUCCACACACUUCAACAUCUACAAAGUGAACACAAAAGAGUAAACAUUGUGUGAAUUAAUCAAUUGGUUGAUUACACUUGAGCGUGCAACUUACAUGUAUUAUUUUUCAGCCUAAUUGGUUUACCAUCUUUUUUAUACCAAGAAUAAAUGGGACGAGGUUGACCACUGGCUAUACACUCGAUGACAACAUUAUCACCUUCCCGAACCCGGUAUGAUGGAUGAGACUCUUCAUCAUUCAUUAUUGGUGGAACUGAUUAUAUCAUUAUAAAUGAAUGGAUGGUGAUUACAUUUUUCCGAAUAACCAAUGUUGCCAAUCAUGAUAAAUUAAUGUUAUUAUUAUUUUUGUCAAUACUUACUCAGUAUUUUGGAAGCAUCUGUGAUAUUAUUUCCUGAGACUGUUUUCCAAGCUGAAAUACCUGGUCGUCCUGUAGACAAGAAAGUAACCCAUCUUUAAAUACUUUUCAAGCAUUUACAAACUUUUUGCCUUCUUCUCAUUCGGAGGCUGGCAAAGAUUUACAUGUCUAACCCUGUAUUUCGUGACAGAUUCUAUGAGAAAUGUGCAUUAAUGAUUACAGCUUGGCGUUAACUGAAUCAAUCAAUUUGUCUAAAUAAUGGAUACAUUGACUCAAUUUUUGGUUAAACAGGAGUCAUAUAAAUUUGUUAUCAAGCAAUUACAUAAACAAUGGUUACAAAAUUCAUCUGGAGCAGCUAUAACACAACCAGUCACUUCAUAAAUUGUAAAUUAUUCAUGUAAAUUAUAAACGAUCAAUCAAAUCAAACAUUUAAAGGAUCGAUGAUGAGUGGAUCUCAAUUAUAAAUGCUGUUAAUGAAUAGAUAAAUGCUAUUGAAGCUUACAAAGACUCAACAAGUAUUAUCAAAGCUUUACAAACAUGAUACUUCUGGACGCCAUGUCGAAAUCAACUCCAAAUCAGUAGCAAAAGAUAAUGAAUAAUUCAAUGGAAAAGAUAAGGAAUCAAUCAAUCAUGAAUUUGGAGAAAACAUGGAACAAAGCAAAUAAAUCAGAAAGUCAACUUUAACUUAAACAAAGACUUAAACAAUAUCAAAUCAACAAUAGCAACAUUUGUGAUUUUCAAUCUCAAUUGAAAUUGCGAUUGAAAUGCUGCUGGAUAAAAUUGCUGUAAAUCAAACAAAUUUUGGUUGCAAAUUAACGUCAAAAGCCAUGUUUAACUUACCAGGUUCACCAGGUUUACCAGCAACACCUUUUUUACCUGCAGGUCCUCUAAGUCCUUCAAUACACGAAAUGGAUUUGCAAUGAAAUGAGUUGGAAAGAAGAAACAGAGAAUAUCAUUGCAAAAUGAUUGAUAUUAAUAAUCAUGGAAAUAAUAAUGAUAAAUGAAAUACUGAAUAUUGAUAGCCCAAGGAUAAAAAUGAUAACUCAUCUAACGUAAUGUUUUCCUUCUUUUCUCAUCUACACCUUUAGUUUUCUGGUUACUUGAUACAUACCUGGUGUACCAGGAGGCCCUGGAGCUCCUCUCUCACCCGGAGUACCUGGUAAACCUAUGGAAAUACAAUUGAAAGUUAAAUCAUUAGUCUUGAUUUUACAUGUAAACGGUGUUUUCAAAAUAAUGGACAAAGUGGUUUAUUGAAAAAAAUACAAAACACAAUGUAAACUGUGUUUUGAUUCACCUUUGAUUCAUUCCCUAUUCGAUUUCAUUAUUUAUCCGUGAUUAUCCGAGCUUUUCCUUUCACUUCGAAAAAUAGAGAACAAAUUCAUCCUUAUUUUCAUUCUUUUAUGCUCUUCGAUUAUUUUUGUUUACUUUGUUACUAUUUUUUACACAAAUUUUACAUUAUUUCAAAUUUUUCUCUUAUUUUUCAGGCCUUUGUAUAACUCAUAUUUACAUACAGUUCUGUACACAGUCUCGACUUUUGGUAUUGUUGAUAAAUUACCUUUACAUGGUGAAUAUCAUCAUUUUUAGAUGGAUUUGGUUGUAUUGGAGUUGAACAUAAAAUGGAGAUGUUUCUGGUAACCAAAUCUAUUCUAGUCAAUUUUACUCCGUAUUAGAUCAAUGGAAAUGUAUCUCACCAUUGGUUCCAUUUGUGCCUGGCUGACCUGGAGUACCAGGAAUACCAUCUCGCCCAUCACGACCAUCUUUACCAUCUUCACCAUCUCGUCCUGGA